rnacentral:rRNA from 1 species
UAAGACAGAGGAGCCAAGCGUUGUCCGGACUGACUGGGCGUAAAGCGCACGCAGGCGGCGCUGUGCGUGGGGUGUGAAAGCUCUUGGCUUAACUGAGAGAGGCCAUCCCAUACGGCAGCGCUCGAGCGGUGCAGAGGUCCGCGGAAUUGCCGGUGUAGUGGUGAAAUGCGUAGAGAUCGGCAGGAACACCCAGGGGGAAACCAGCGGACUGGGCAUCGGCUGACGCUCAGGUGCGACAGCGUGGGGAGCGAACCGGAUUAGAUACCCGGGUAGUCCACGCCAUAAACGAUGGACACUCGGCAUCUGGCGCCGAGAUUUCGGCGCUGGGUGCCCAAGCUAACGCGGAAGUGUCCCGCCUGGGAACUACGAGCGCAAGCUUA